rnacentral:lncRNA from 1 species
GAUCAGAAAAUUGAUUUUGAUUUAUUUGUCAAAGACAAGCCUACCCCAGAAUAAAAUGUUUGCUUACAGGUAAUGGAAGUGGAUAAGGAGGUUCUGGAAGUAAGAACCAAAACGUGAUUUCGCCCAUUGAGGUAAAAGCGUCAAGCUAAUGACGUUAAAGAAGUGCUUCCUGGGAGGCAACCUAGUUCUAAUUUUUGUUAUUCUAUUCUUGUUUAUGCAUUG